CCUACGGGUGGCUGCAGUGGGGAAUAUUGGACAAUGGGGGCAACCCUGAUCCAGCCAUGCCGCGUGUGUGAAGAAGGCCCUCGGGUUGUAAAGCACUUUCAGUGAGGAAGAACGCCUGGUGGUUAAUACCCAUCAGGAAAGACAUCACUCACAGAAGAAGCACCGGCUAACUCCGUGCCAGCAGCCGCGGUAAUACGGAGGGUGCGAGCGUUAAUCGGAAUUACUGGGCGUAAAGCGCGCGUAGGUGGCUUGAUAAGCCGGUUUGUGAAAGCCCCGGGCUCAACCUGGGAACGGCAUCCGGAACUGUCAAGCUAGAGUGCAGGAGAGGAAGGUAGAAUUCCCGGUGUAGCGGUGAAAUGCGUAGAGAUCGGGAGGAAUACCAGUGGCGAAGGCGGCCUUCUGGACUGACACUGACACUGAGGUGCGAAAGCGUGGGUAGCAAACAGGAUUAGAUACCCUAGUAGUC
rnacentral:rRNA from 1 species